UCUGGAAUCUCAGGCUCCCAAGA
rnacentral:piRNA from 1 species